UAGCGUAGGGGGCAAGCGUUGUCCGGAAUCGAUUGGGCGUAAAGCGCGUGUAGGCGGUUCGGUAAGUCGGCUGUGAAAGUCCAGGGCUCAACCCCUGGGAUGCCGGUCGAUACUGCCGGACUAGAGUUCGGAAGAGGCGAGUGGAAUUCCCGGUGUAGCGGUGAAAUGCGCAGAUAUCGGGAGGAACACCAAUGGCGAAGGCAGCUCGCUGGGACGUUACUGACGCUGAGGAGCGAAAGCGUGGGGAGCGAACAGG
rnacentral:rRNA from 1 species